ACCCCCUGGCAAUGACAAAGAGACACCUUGUUGGUGUGGUUCUUAUUUCAGUCAGGGGCAGAGCAGAUGUCAGUCCUUUGUUCAUCCUAGUUUGAUGCCUGACUUGGUGGCCAAUGCUGUCCUAUGCCUAGGACUCAUAA